UCAUGCCAUGUCUCAUGGAGAUGUCUGCCUCACCAAAGGUACUGACUGAUGGAAACAAUACAAAAGGAAAAUGCAAGGAAUUUAAAAAUUGAGGAACGCAAAGAAGAAGAGGAGCUGAUUGGACUGUAAAUGGUCUAGCUGAAGAGUGACCAGCCUAUGGUUCAUGGGACAUAUAUGACCCAUGAGAGUAUUUCAGGAGGUACUAGAUGUUCCAGAUGUACCAUAGUACCAACAGCAUGAAUUAAGAAGGGCUUUUUCAGCUAAAAGGCAUCUGCUACCACAAUUAAGAAAACCCUGCUUCUAGGGAGAAGACAUGUUCUUUUUGUAAACAAACAGAGAAUAAAGUUUGUGGUCAGCUCUACCAGGAAAGGCCUAACAGAACAGUUUAUGAACACACUGAAUGUGAAUAAAAUAGAGCUUCAAGCCUGCCAUGGCCAGCAUGAAAAGGAAUGGAAGAAACAGUGGCACCCAGUGAAGGAUCCUUGCACUGAACCCGAGAGCUUUCUUCGUGCCUUCUAAUUGACAUUCCCUCGAUCUAGUUGCGUCAGAUGUAGCAUCGUCUCUGCUGGCUUCAGUAUCUCUAUUUGGUACUGCAGUGGAUGGAUAUAUGACCUGUUUUCAGCAUCAAUCAUCAGGUGGGAGAUCAGAGACAACAUUACAAAUUUGACCACGAAAGAAACACUUGCUGGGAGAGAUACAGUGGUAGUGUAAGGCCAGUGAGGUUCCAAGUGAUUGAGGUUUAUGACACCUUGAAGGAACUGGCACAGUCAAGUAAAGCCAAGGACAAAAUCCAAGACAGAGGCACAGAUCCAAGAAAAUCAGAUCACUGACUUUAAAUUCCUGGUCUCAGUUGGGUGUAAGCAAGGCACUACAAACUCAGUUGGAUGGUCAUUGUGACCAUUACUACCUUUGAAGAGAAGCUGUCUUGAUUUCAUUGUGGCCUACAAAAACAAUGGAUUUGAAGAUGUCAUUGUAGCCAAAGAAAUGGUGGAAAAUUUAAGAGUUGAGCCUGUCUUCAAGGAAACUUGUAUUCAUCAGAAAAUACAAUUUGGUUAUAAGGGCAAAAAGGAGGUGACGGAAAACUUGGAAGAAAAAUUCAAGGGAGACUUUUUUGAUUGCUCAUUUAUGCUGCUUGAGUACCUGCUAUGGGGCAGCACUCACCCCCACAAGUAGCCUCCAGUUGGUCACUCUAGGGAACUACCUCUUCAACCCUAGAGUGCCCUUUCCUCCUAGUACUGCCCUAGGGCAGUGCCCCUGCACUCUAGGGUCCUCCCCUCCCAGGGAACUCCCCAAACCACUAACCCCACCUUGCCUCAGUGACCCACUGUCAGUCAUCAUCUAGCUCCUCACCUCAAGGGCAAACUGCAAUCUGAAAUGGCCACUCAU